AUUUUCUUUUCUUUUGAGGCGUUUUUCUAUUUUCUUCCAAGCCAUUUUUACAACUUUGGUACCUGUGCCUAGUAAAUUUUAUGUACUUUGUGAAUAAAUAAAGGUUUUUGACAGGAACUAUUUUUUUCAGGGCAUAGGAGGCUACUUCCUGUGAUGCACUCGAGGUGUUUAUAAACAAAGUGAAAACACGUGGAUUUGAGGGUAGCCCUGUUUGCAGAUGGAAAAAGUCCGAAAAUGCCGUGUGGGUACCCUGUUUUUUGGUGUCAGCUAAUGUGACAGGGCAUAGGAGGCUACUUCCUGAGAUGCACUCGAGGUGUUUAUAAACAAAGUGAAAACACGUGGAUUUGACGGUAGCCCUGUUUGCAGAUGGAAAAAGUCCGAAAAUGCCGUGUGGGUACCCUGUUUUUUGGUGUCAGCUAAUGUGACAGGGCAUAGGAGGCUACUUCCUGUGAUGCACUCGAGGUGUUUAUAAACAAAGUGAAAACACGUGGAUUUGAGGGUAGCCCUGUUUGCAGAUGGAAAAAGUCCGAAAAUGCCGUGUGGGUACCCUGUUUUUUGGUGUCAGCUAAUGUGACAGAUCACCUCCUAUAAAUUUUAUCAGCAGUUUUUGUACACCCACCCACCUCAAAGAAUCAUGGAUGAUGUCCUGAAACUGGUCUCUGUGAUGCAUUUUGUCACAUAUAAAUGUGUUCAAACCCAUAAAAAUGUUUAAUAUUUAUAUUUUAAAAUUUGAAUUUUUAUUUUUUAUGUAAAUUUGGUGAAAGAAAAAGAUGUAAUCUUGCAUAAAUCAUGGAAAUUCAUUAAACACCUUUGGAAUUCCUGAGUAAAUCCAUGAAAAGAGAAUAAUUAUGCAUGUUAAAUUGAAAUUUCAUGGCUACUUUGUGUCUUAAGAGAAAGCCAGUUACAUAAAUCACAACAAUAAAUUACAUCUGAAUUGUUGUCUCCAUUUUCUUAUCAUCAAAGCCAGUUUAUUGGAGUGUUGGAGCUGUCAAGAACCUCCCUAGAUGCUGAUAUCAUUUAGACUGACCUGAGUUACAACACAGCAUUUAGAUAAACUUCUGCACAGCAUCUUGUAGACAAAUACCUAGGCUUUAUUUGGAACAUAAAUUGACCAGAUACAGUUUUCAUUAUCAACCCAGUAUUUAACAAUUUCUGUAUUUUUGUUCAUUCUUUGAAGGGGAAAAUGCAACUUUGUUAUGUAAUAAUUACAUAAUGGUCUUAGACUUGUAACCUCUUUUUUGUUUGUUGUGAAGAACAAAGCAUAUACUCUCCACAGAUAAAAAAUUGGUUGCCAAGCUUAUUCUUUUAAUGAUGAAAUUCUGCUUCAAAAGAUGCACAAAAAACUGCUUCCAG